ACCUGAAGCUCUCAGAACAGCGACCCUGGAGGUCACUAGGGACCAGUCCAUGGUCAGAGCAUCAGUGGAAGUUCUUCCAAGAGCAGGAGCCUCCUGGGCUGCUGUGCACCCGCCCUGAUUCUCCCAGGGAGCCUCGUGCCCACAGAGCUGAGAAGAGGGUACUGUAUUCCCUAGACGUGGAGUUACAGACGGCUGAGUCUCCAUGAAGAUGCUGAAAUGGAAGUUUCCUCCUCUGGACGAGCAGCCCCGGCUCUUAACUGCAGCGCCAUCUCUCCACCCUGCUGGGUUUAAUUCUUAACAAAACUAACCUACAGUUUGUGUACUGGCAUUUUGACAUAAUGUCUUGCUAUGUAGCCCACACUGGUCACAAUCUUGUGAUCCUCCUUCCUCAGUCUCUUGAGUAUUGGGAUUACAAGCAUCCACCCUCAGAUCCAGAUCUAGUGAGUAUCUUUCUUCACGGAUUCUAGAACACAAAUGCACACACACACACACACACACACACACACACACACACGGACAUCCCU